rnacentral:tRNA from 1 species
GCGAAAGUGGCGGAAUUGGCAGACGCGCUGGAUUUAGGAUCCAGUGGCUUAUAGCCGUGGGGGUUCGAGUCCCCCCUUUCGCACGA